rnacentral:rRNA from 1 species
UUGAUCCUGGCUCAGAAUCAACGCUGGCGGCGUGCCUCAGACAUGCAAGUCGAACGAUUAAAGCUCUCUUCGGAGAGUGUAUAGAGUGGCGCACGGGUGUGUAACACGUAAGUAAUCUACCCUCGAGUGGGGAAUAACAUCGGGAAACCUAUGCUAAUACCGCAUAAUGCAGCGGCACCGCAAGGUGACAGUUGUUAAAUAUUUAUCGCUUGAGGAGGAGCUUGCGGCAGAUUAGCUAGUUGGUAAGGUUAUGGCUUACCAAGGCUACGAUCUGUAACCGGUCUAAGAGGACGGUCGGUUACACUGACACUGAAUAACGGGUCAGACUCCUACGGGAGGCAGCAGUCGGUAAUUUUGGGCAAUGGGCGAAAGCCUGACCCAGCAACGCCGCGUGAAGGAUGAAGUAUUUCGGUAUGUAAACUUCGAAAGAAUAGGAGGAAUAAAUGACGUUACUAUUUAUAAGGUCCGGCUAACUACGUGCCAGCAGCCGCGGUAAUAAUU